AUACGUAUGUCGCAAGCGUUAUCCGGAAUUAUUGGGCGUAAAGCGAGUCUAGGCAGCUUGUUAAGUCAGAUGUGAAAAUGCGGGGCUCAACUCCGUAUUGCGUUUGAAACUGGCAGGCUAGAGUACUGGAGAGGUGGGCGGAACUACAAGUGUAGAGGUGAAAUUCGUAGACAUUUGUAGGAAUGCCGAUAGUGAAGACAGCUCAAUGGACAGAUACUGACGCUAAAGCUCGAAAGCGUGGGGAGCGAACAGGAUUAGAAACCCGAGUAGUCC
rnacentral:rRNA from 1 species